AAUGAAACGAUGACAGAGACUAGUAAUUUACAGUUCGUCCAUCCAGGGAAAAAAUGCCUUAGACUGCAAGCAUUUUUAGGAUUGAAGUAAAUGAAUUCACCUCUUGAGUUGACACUUGGACCGCAAUAGAGUAAAGAGAAGAAAGGUUUUACCAACUUCUAACCUCCCACUCCGACCUCUAGAACGUAAAGGUGCUCCGGUUUUUACCGUUAUGGAAAUGAAGUGAGCUGUAUGAGGACUAUGUAUAUACAGUUAACAAGGGUGGUAACGCGAAUUCAAACUCGUCCCUUUU
rnacentral:ncRNA from 1 species